UGCAAGUCGAACGGCAGCGCGGGGCAACCUGGCGGCGAGUGGCGAACGGGUGAGUAAUAUAUCGGAACGUACCCAAGAGUGGGGGAUAACGUAGCGAAAGUUACGCUAAUACCGCAUACGAUCUCAGGAUGAAAGCAGGGGACCGCAAGGCCUUGUGCUCCUGGAGCGGCCGAUAUCUGAUUAGCUAGUUGGUGGGGUAAAGGCUCACCAAGGCGACGAUCAGUAGCUGGUCUGAGAGGACGACCAGCCACACUGGAACUGAGACACGGUCCAGACUCCUACGGGAGGCAGCAGUGGGGAAUUUUGGACAAUGGGCGCAAGCCUGAUCCAGCAAUGCCGCGUGAGUGAAGAAGGCCUUCGGGUUGUAAAGCUCUUUUGUCAGGGAAGAAACGGUAGAGGCUAAUAUCCUUUGCUAAUGACGGUACCUGAAGAAUAAGCACCGGCUAACUACGUGCCAGCAGCCGCGGUAAUACGUAGGGUGCAAGCGUUAAUCGGAAUUACUGGGCGUAAAGCGUGCGCAGGCGGUUUUGUAAGUCUGUCGUGAAAGCCCCGGGCUCAACCUGGGAAUUGCGAUGGAGACUGCAAGGCUUGAAUCUGGCAGAGGGGGGUAGAAUUCCACGUGUAGCAGUGAAAUGCGUAGAGAUGUGGAGGAACACCGAUGGCGAA
rnacentral:rRNA from 1 species